rnacentral:tRNA from 1 species
UGGGUUGUGGCUCAGUGGUAGAGCACUUCCCUAGCAUGCAUGAGGCACUGGGUUCAAUCCCCAGCACCACAU